UUGAGUGGGUAUAGGCCACU
rnacentral:misc_RNA from 1 species